GACGAACGCUGGCGGCGUGCUUAACACAUGCAAGUCGUACGGUAAGGCCCUUUCGGGGGUCCACGAGUGGCGAACGGGUGAGUAACACGUGAGUAACCUGCCCACAACUUUGGGAUAACGCUAGGAAACUGGUGCUAAUACUGGAUAUGUGCCCCUGCUGCAUGGUGGGGGUUGGAAAGCUCCGGCGGUUGUGGAUGGACUCGCGGCCUAUCAGCUUGUUGGUGGGGUAGUGGCCUACCAAGGCGGCGACGGGUAGCCGGCCUGAGAGGGUGACCGGCCACAUUGGGACUGAGAUACGGCCCAGACUCCUACGGGAGGCAGCAGUGGGGAAUAUUGCACAAGGGGCGCAAGCCUGAUGCAGCAACGCCGCGUGCGGGAUGACGGCCUUCGGGUUGUAAACCGCGUUCAGCAGGGACGAAGCUUUUUGUGACGGUACCUGCAGAAGAAGCACCGGCUAACUACGUG
rnacentral:rRNA from 1 species